GUGCUUACUUGGGCAGCACAAAUACUAAGAUUGGAACGAUACAGAGAUGCUUAGCAUGGCCCCCCGGGCAAGGAUGUCACACAAAUUGGUGAAGUGUUCCAAGGUCAG